UACGAAGGGGGCUAGCGUUGCUCGGAAUGACUGGGCGUAAAGGGCGCGUAGGCGGGAUGGCAAGUCGGUCGUGAAAUCCUUCGGCUCAACCGAAGAACGUCGAUCGAUACUGCUGUUCUUGAGGGUUGCAGAGGAGACUGGAAUUCCCGGUGUAGCGGUGAAAUGUGUAGAGAUCGGGAGGAACACCGGUGGCGAAGGCGGGUCUCUGGGCAAUUCCUGACGCUGAGGCGCGAAAGCGUGGGGAGCAAACGGG
rnacentral:rRNA from 1 species